CCUAUCUCUGGUCUCCCUUCCUCCUAUAGUACAGUUCAUGCUACAUAACAUGGCUGUGGACCUUGUAUGGCUAAGCCCAUGCUGCCCUCAGCCACUCCCUCCCUGGGCAAUCAUGUCUUCUUCGCCUUAAAUCUGUGCCUUUGUUCUGUGUUAGUGUUGAAAAGCUUCUGUCAAUUCAGCUUGAGAUGCUCCUUUUUCUCCCUGGGGAGGCCAGCAUCUCUUUAGGUCUCUGACCAAGUGUGUGCCUGGGAUGAAAUCCUCUCUCCCAGCAGUCCAAGAGUCUGCCUCCUCCUCCUAGCCAGUCACUCCUGUGAGGGCAUCUAGCCAUCUCCCAGAUACCUAAUGCUCCUGGGGAACUCCUGGGAUCUAAGACCCCUCCUCAGCCACAUCCCUGCUCAUCCUGAAUAUCCAUUAGUCCUGGACCCAAAAUAAAAAUGAAUGAAAUAGAGACCGGGUCUGUGGCUCAGUGGUAGCACACUGGCCUAGCAUGUGUGAGGCACUGGGUUUGAUUCAUACAUAUAUAUAUAUAUGAAUAAAAUGAGUCAAAU
rnacentral:lncRNA from 1 species